GGCGGACGGGUGAGUAAUGUCUGGGAAACUGCCCGAUGGAGGGGGAUAACUACUGGAAACGGUAGCUAAUACCGCAUAACGUCGCAAGACCAAAGAGGGGGACCUUAGGGCCUCUUGCCAUCGGAUGUGCCCAGAUGGGAUUAGCUAGUAGGUGGGGUAAUGGCUCACCUAGGCGACGAUCCCUAGCUGGUCUGAGAGGAUGACCAGCCACACCGGAACUGAGACACGGUCCAG
rnacentral:rRNA from 1 species